CGCGGAAGGCGACAUGGGCUCCGCUCCCUUGGCCCCGGUCCUGCUGCUGGCGCUCGGGCUGCGCGGCCUCCAGGCGGGGGGUGAGUGUGGCGGCGCCCCCCAGCCCAUUCCCCGGCCCCGGCCCCGCCUCUGAGGUUCGCGUCCCCCCACAGCCCGCAGGGCCCCGGACCCCGGCUUCCAGGAGCGCUUCUUCCAGCAGCGUCUGGACCACUUCAACUUCGAGCGCUUCGGCAACAAGACCUUCCCCCAGCGCUUCCUGGUGUCGGACAGGUUCUGGGUCCGGGGCGAGGGGCCCAUCUUCUUCUACACUGGAAACGAGGGCGACGUGUGGGCCUUCGCCAACAACUCGGGCUUCGUCGCGGAGCUGGCGGCCGAGCAGGGGGCUCUACUGGUCUUCGCGGAGGUGCCGGGGGUGCGGGGGGGUCGCGGAGCACCGCUACUACGGGAAGUCGCUGCCGUUCGGUGCGCAGUCCACGCAGCGCGGGCACACGGAGCUGCUGACGGUGGAGCAGGCCCUGGCCGACUUCGCAGAGCUGCUCCGCGCCCUACGACGCGACCUCGGGGCCCAGGAUGCCCCCGCCAUCGCCUUCGGUGGAAGUUACGGGGGGAUGCUCAGCGCCUACCUGAGGAUGAAGUAUCCCCACCUGGUGGCGGGGGCGCUGGCGGCCAGCGCGCCCGUUCUAGCUGUGGCAGGCCUCGGCGACUCCAACCAGUUCUUCCGGGACGUCACGGCGGUGAGUGAGGCUUGGGGUCCUCCAGGCCCCUUAAGGGACAGCGGCUGCAGUGAGCACGGUCUCUUUCCCCCAGGACUUUGAGGGCCAGAGUCCCAAAUGCACCCAGGGUGUGCGGGAAGCGUUCCGACAGAUCAAGGACUUGUUCCUACAGGGAGCCUACGACACGGUCCGCUGGGAGUUCGGCACCUGCCAGCCGCUGUCAGACGAGAAGGACCUGACCCAGCUCUUCAUGUUCGCCCGGAAUGCCUUCACCGUGCUGGCCAUGAUGGACUACCCCUACCCCACUGACUUCCUGGGUCCCCUCCCUGCCAA
rnacentral:sRNA from 1 species